rnacentral:tRNA from 1 species
UCCCCGGUGGUCCAAUAGUUAAGACCCUGCACUCCCAAUGCAGGGUACCUGGGUUCGAUCCCUGGUCAGGGAA